CUAAACCCUAUCCCCCUCUCUCUCUCUCUCUCUCUCUCUCAACUCAAAAACCAGCCCUCAGCCCUCCUCUUUGACGGCGUGCAUGGGUCACGAUAGGUAGGUGGCUGGUGGUCGGAUCACGGCGGCAGGCUCGAUGCAGAGGUAGGGGCUUGGCUCUCUCACUCCUUCGUCCUCCCAUCUCUCGCUCUGCCUAGGCUCGAUGUCGGCUAGGGGUUCAAGGGCUCGACAGUGGCUAGGGGCUCAGGGGGUGGGCUCGACAGCGAGUAGGGUUCUCCGGGCUAGCUGGGCUCGACGGCACGGGGGUCUCAGGGGGUGGGAUCGAUCGUGCAAGGACGGCGCAGAGAGGGUUCGGGUUGGGCUGGGCUGGGUUUGGGUCGACUGUGCAGGGAGGGGCUCGGGCUGGGACGGUGGCUGGGCUCGGCAGGGAGGGGCUCGGGCUGGGACGGUGGCUGGGCUCGGCAGGGACAGUGGCUGGGCUUGGGGCUACUGCUACCGCACCAAUUAUUCCUGAAAACAUGGGAAUUUUUCCGCACCUCAAGUCGAUGACUUGGACCAUGGAAAAUUGCAGCUCGGACCAAGCAAAGAGAACGGCGAUCAUCACACUAAAGGUUUUUGAAAUAUGGGAACUAGCAAAACGGAAGCAAAUUUAAGAAGAUUACUUGCUGCUGCGCCUAAACAGCAAAACCAAGGAAAGCUUGUUCAUGCUUUUGGGCUAUAGCAAUAUCUAAUAGAGCAAAAAGGUGUGUCUGUAUAAAGGAAGUUGAAGAGCUAUGGAAGCAGGUCUAUAUUGAGAUGCAUUUCUUUGGCGCAAUACUAGACAACAUUGACAGUUGAAGUUUUUAGAAUAAAAAAUAUAUUUCACUAACAUUGGAUACAUUUCUUGUUUAAUAUUUGGUGAUGAUAAAAUUUGAUUGUAGUAUAAACUAUCAUGUAAUAUGAUUUUGUAAGCCGAGUAGACUAAAUACUGAAAUUAUAUUUUUGAGUAAUUAAUAAAUAAUUAUUUUGUUGUA